rnacentral:rRNA from 1 species
UGAGGAAUAUUGGUCAAUGGGGGCAACCCUGAACCAGCCAAGUCGCGUGAAGGAUGAAGGUCUUAUGGAUUGUAAACUUCUUUUAUACAGGAAUAAAUUGGGGGACGUGUCCCCUUUUGCAUGUACUGUAUGAAUAAGGAUCGGCUAACUCCGUGCCAGCAGCCGCGGUAAUACGGAGGAUCCGAGCGUUAUCCGGAUUUAUUGGGUUUAAAGGGUGCGCAGGCGGGAUGUUAAGUCGGCGGUGAAAUUUUGCAGCUCAACUGUAAAAGUGCCUUCGAUACUGGCCUCCUUGAGUGUGGAUGAAGUAGGCGGAAUUUGUGGUGUAGCGGUGAAAUGCUUAGAUAUUACUUAGAACACCAAUUGCGAAGGCAGGUUACCAAGAUAUAACUGACGCUGAGGGACGAAAGCGUGGGGAGCGAACA